CGUACACUCCUGCGGGAGGCAGCAGUGGGGAAUAUUGCACAAUGGGCGCAAGCCUGAUGCAGCCAUGCCGCGUGUAUGAAGAAGGCCUUCGGGUUGUAAAGUACUUUCAGCGGGGAGGAAGGCAAUACGGUUAAUAACCGUGUUGAUUGACGUUACCCGCAGAAGAAGCACCGGCUAACUCCGUGCCAGCAGCCGCGGUAAUACGGAGGGUGCAAGCGUUAAUCGGAAUUACUGGGCGUAAAGCGCACGCAGGCGGUCUGUCAAGUCGGAUGUGAAAUCCCCGGGCUCAACCUGGGAACUGCAUUCGAAACUGGCAGGCUUGAGUCUUGUAGAGGGGGGUAGAAUUCCAGGUGUAGCGGUGAAAUGCGUAGAGAUCUGGAGGAAUACCGGUGGCGAAGGCGGCCCCCUGGACAAAGACUGACGCUCAGGUGCGAAAGCGUGGGGAGCAAACAGGAUUAGAUACCCCGGUAGUCCCA
rnacentral:rRNA from 1 species